GGGCAAAUUGACACCGUAACUUCGGAAGAAGGUGUGCCCUAUUAGUGUGAAGUGAACAACGGAGCAUGAAUGGGUUGCAAAAAAUCGGUGGCUGCGACUGUUUAUUAAAAACACAGCACUCUGCAAACACGAAAGUGGACGUAUAGGGUGUGACGCCUGCCCGGUGCUGGAAGAUUAAAUGAUGGGGUGCAAGCUCUUGAUUGAAGUCCCAGUAAACGGCGGCCGUAACAAUAACGGUCCUAAGGUAGCGAAAUUCCUUGUCGGGUAAGUUCCGACCUGCACGAAUGGCGUAACGAUGGCCACACUGUCUCCUCCUGAGACUCAGCGAAGUUGAAAUGUUUGUGAUGAUGCAAUCUCCCCGCGGAAAGACGGAAAGACCCCAUGAACCUUUACUGUAGCUUUGUAUUGGACUUUGAACAGAUCUGUGUAGGAUAGGUGGGAGGCUUUGAAGCAGGGUCGCUAGAUCUUGUGGAGCCAACGUUGAAAUACCACCCUGGUGUGUUUGAGGUUCUAACCUAGGUCCAUUAUCUGGAUCGGGGACAGUGCAUGGUAGGCAGUUUGACUGGGGCGGUCUCCUCCCAAAGCGUAACGGAGGAGUUCGAAGGUACGCUAGUUACGGUCGGACAUCGUGACGAUAGUGCAAUGGCAUAAGCGUGCUUAACUGCGAGACUGACAAGUCGAGCAGAUGCGAAAGCAGAACAUAGUGAUCCGGUGGUUCUGUAUGGAAGGGCCAUCGCUCAACGGAUAAAAGGUACUCUGGGGAUAACAGGCUGAUACCGCCCAAGAGUUCAUAUCGACGGCGGUGUUUGGCACCUCGAUGUCGGCUCAUCUCAUCCUGGGGCUGUAGCCGGUCCCAAGGGUAUGGCUGUUCGCCAUUUAAAGAGGUACGUGAGCUGGGUUUAAAACGUCGUGAGACAGUUUGGUCCCUAUCUUCCGUGGGCGCUGCAGAUUUGAGGAAGCCUGCUCCUAGUACGAGAGGACCGGAGUGGACACACCUCUGGUGUAUCGGUUGUCACGCCAGUGGCAUUGCCGAGUAGCUAAGUGUGGAAGAGAUAACCGCUGAAAGCAUCUAAGCGGGAAACUCGUUUCAAGAUGAGAUCUGCCGGGGCCUUGAGCCCCCUAAAGAGUCGUUCAAGACCAGGACGUUGAUAGGUCAGGUGUGGAAGCGCAGUAAUGCGUUAAGCUAACUGAUACUAAUUGCUCGUGCGGCUUGACCCU
rnacentral:rRNA from 1 species